UCUCCUACGGGAGGCAGCAGUGGGGAAUUUUGGACAAUGGGGGCAACCCUGAUCCAGCCAUGCCGCGUGAGUGAAGAAGGCCUUCGGGUUGUAAAGCUCUUUCGGCCGGGAAGAAAUCGCACAGGCUAAUACCCUGUGUGGAUGACGGUACCGGAAUAAGAAGCACCGGCUAACUACGUGCCAGCAGCCGCGGUAAUACGUAGGGUGCGAGCGUUAAUCGGAAUUACUGGGCGUAAAGCGUGCGCAGGCGGUUUGUAAGACAGAGGUGAAAUCCCCGGGCUCAACCUGGGAACUGCCUUGUGACUGCGAGGCUAGAGUACGGCAGAGGGGGGUGGAAUUCCACGUGUAGCAGUGAAAUGCGUAGAGAUGUGGAGGAACACCGAUGGCGAAGGCAGCCCCCGGGCCGAUACUGACGUCAUGCACGAAAGCGUGGGUAGCAAACAGGAUUAGAUACCCUGGUAGUCCCGCCCUAAACGAUGUCAACUAGGUGUUGGGUGGGUAAAACCAUUUAGUACCGUAGCUAACGCGUGAAGUUGACCGCCUGGGGAGUACGGCCGCAAGGUUAAAACUCAAAUGAAUGACGG
rnacentral:rRNA from 1 species